CCUACGGGAGGCAGCAGUGGGGAAUAUUGCGCAAUGGGCGAAAGCCUGACGCAGCGACGCCGCGUGAGGUCUUCCUUUCUUCGGCUCUUCCCCCUCUGUCAGCAGGGAAGAACGGUCACUGUGCUAAUCAGCAGUGAAUUGACGGUACCUGCAACGGAAGCACCGGCUAACUCCGUGACAGCAGCCGCGGUAAUACGGAGGGUGCGAGCGUUAAUCGGAAUUACUGGGCGUAAAGCGCUCGUAGGCGGGAUGUCAAGUCAAGGGGGAAAUCCCCGGGAUCAACGUGGGAACUGCCUUUGAAACUGGCAAACUGGAGUGUGUGAGAGGAUAGUGGAAGUCCAGGUGUAGGAGUGAAAGCCGUAGAUAUCUGGAGGAACAUCAGUGGCGAAGGCGACUAUCUGGCACAUAACUGACGCUGAGGAGCGAAAGCGUGGGUAGCAAACAGGAUUAGAUACCCUGGUAGUC
rnacentral:rRNA from 1 species